rnacentral:rRNA from 1 species
GACGAACGCUGGCGUAAUGCCUAACACGUGUGCUUCACGGGGUAGCAAUACCACUGGCGCGCGGGUGAGUAACACGUAAGUUAUCUGCCCCCAUCGCGUGGAAACCUCGGGAAACCGAGGCUAAUAUCUGAUGAGGUCGUGAGACUUAGCUUCGGCGGAUGGGGAUGAGCCUGCUGCUGAUUAGCUGUUUGGUGAGGUAAUGGCUCACCUCAGCGACAAUCAGUAGCUGGUCUGAUAGGACCAAGUCCCCCACUGGAACUGAAACACGGGCCUUACUCCUAUUGAAGGCAGCGCUUUCGAAUAUUGGUCAAUGGGCGCCAUCCUGAACCUUUAAUGCCACGUGUGGGAUGAAAGCGCUUCCCGUCUUAAACCACUGUCGGACGGGACGAAAGGAGCUAUGAAGCUCUAGGACGGUACUACCAAAGGAAGGAUCGGCUAACUACGUGCCAUCAGCCGCGGUAGUACUUAUGAUCCAAGCGUUGUCCGGAGUUACUGGGUAUCAACGGUGCCUAAGCUGCCUUGUGCGUCACACGUGAAAUAUUCUGGCUUAAGUCUGAGGGUGCCUUUGAUACAGCAGGGCUUGAGUGCGAGAGAGGAUGAUGGACUUCCUGAUGUAGCAGUUAAAUGCCUAGAUAUCAGGAGGAACACUCGUCGCUAGGGCAGUCAUCUGGCUCGAAACUGACCCUGAGGCACUUAACCGUGGGGAUCAAAGGUGAUUACAUACCCUGGUAGUCAUCUCCCUACAUUAUGUAUGCUUGGUGUUGGGGUCUCAAGGUCUCAGUGCUCUACGAAAUCGUGUAAGCCUACCACCCGGCGAGUACUAUGACACAGUUGAAACUCUAUGAAUUGACGG